AUUGAACGCUAGCGGGAUGCUUUACACAUGCAAGUCGAACGAGUGGCGGACGGGUGAGUAAUAUAUCGGAAUGUGCCCAGUAGCGGGGGAUAACUACUCGAAACAGUCGCUAAUACCGCAUACUAUUGGAGCGGCCGAUAUCGGAUUAGCUAGUUGGUGGGGUAAAGGCUUACCUAGGCAACGAUCCGUAGCUGGUCUGAGAGGAUGAUCAGUCACACUGGGACUGAGACACGGCCCAGACUCCUACGGGAGGAAGCAGUGGGGAAUAUUGGACAAUGGGGGAAACCCUGAUCCAGCCAUGCCGCGUGUAUGAGAAGGCCUUCGGGUUGUAAAGUACUUUAAGCCGGGAGGCGUUAUCGACAGAAUAAGCACCGGCUAACUCCGUGCCAGCAGCCGCGGUAAUUC
rnacentral:rRNA from 1 species